rnacentral:rRNA from 1 species
GGGUGCGAUCAUACAAGUGUUAAUGCAUCGAAUCCCAUUAGAACUCAAAAAUUAAGCGCGCUUGGGCUAGAGUAGUAAUGGGAUGGGUGACCU